GGGGGUGUAGCUCAGUGGUAGAGUGCAUGCUUAGCAUGUACAAGGCCUAGAGUUCAUCUCCAGCACCUCCC
rnacentral:tRNA from 1 species